UACAGAGGGUGCGAGCGUUGUCCGGAAUCACUGGGCGUAAAGGGCGCGUAGGUGGCGCCGCAAGUCCAUGGUGAAAGCUCGAUGCUCAACAUCGAGUCGGCCACGGAGACUGCGGGGCUCGAGCACUGUAGGGGCAGAUGGAAUUCCGGGUGUAGCGGUGGAAUGCGUAGAGAUCCGGAAGAACACCGGUGGAGAAGGCGGUCUGCUGGGCAGUUCCUGACGCUGAGGCACGAAGGCCAGGGGAGCAAACGGG
rnacentral:rRNA from 1 species